GGGCGUAUGGUGUAGUGGGAGCACGUUCGCUUUGCAAUGCACACCGCAUUACAAACCUUGCGAAAGGUCCGGGGUUCGAUCCCCCGUUCGUCCA
rfam:Gaeumannomyces graminis var. tritici R3-111a-1 unplaced genomic scaffold supercont2.1, whole genome shotgun sequence.